rnacentral:lncRNA from 1 species
AGAAGAGAAGAAACCUGUUCCUGUUCCCAAGAAGAAGGAAGCUCCACCGGCAAAAUGCCUGAGGUUCCUAAGAAGCCAGAGGAGAAAGUUCCUGUGCUUAUUCCUAAAAAGGAGAAGCCUCCGCCAGCAAAAUUCCUGAAGUGCCCAAGAAACCUGUGCCAGAGGAGAAAGUACCAGUACCAGUUCCUAAAAAGGUGGAAGCUCCACCUGCCAAAUGCCAGAGGUACCCAAGAAGCCUGUGCCUGAGAAGAAGGUGCCAGUUCCUGCUCCUAAGAAAGUGGAGGCUCCACCUGCAAAAUGCCAGAGGUGCCCAAGAAGCUCAUCCCAGAAGAAAAGAAACCAACACCUGUUCCGAAAAAAGUGGAAGCACCACCACCCAAAUGCCAAAGAAACGUGAACCAGUUCCAGUUCCUGUAGCUCUACCUCAGGAAGAGGAAGUUCUAUUUGAAGAAGAAAUUGUUCCUGAAGAGGAAGUUCUACCUGAGGAAGAGGAAGUUCUACCUGAGGAAGAGGAAGUUCUACCUGAAGAAGAGGAAGUUCUACCUGAAGAAGAGGAAAUUCCACCUGAGGAAGAGGAAGUUCCUCCCGAAGAAGAAUAUGUACCUGAGGAAGAAGAAUUUGUACCUGAAGAAGAAGUCCUUCCAGAAGUUAAACCUAAGGUGCCAGUACCUGCACCAUGCCUGAAGUACCAAAGAAA